AACCCCAUAGACCGCUCUGUUUCCUGGUCCACAACAUCACUGAGAAGGUAGCUAACCCCAUAGACCGCUCUGUUUCCUGGUCCAUAACAUCACUGAGAAGGUAGCUAACCCCAUAGACCGCUCUGUUUCCUGGUCCACAACAUCACUGAGAAGGUAGCUAACCCCAUAGACCGCUCUGUUUCCUGGUCCACAAUAUCACUGAGAAGGUAGCUAACCCCAUAGACCGCUCUGUUUCCUGGUCCACAACAUCACUGAGAAGGUAGCUAACCCCAUAGACCGCUCUGUUUCCUGGUCCACAACAUCACUGAGAAGGUAGCUAACCCCAUAGACCGCUCUGUUUCCUGGUCCACAACAUCACUGAGAAGGUAGCUAACCCCAUAGACCGCUCUGUUUCCUGGUCCACAACAUCACUGAGAAGGUAGCUAACCCCAUAGAGAGCCCUGGUCCACAACAUCACUGAGAAGGUAGCUAACCCCAUAGAGAGCCCUGGUCCACAACAUCACUGAGAAGGUAGCUAACCCCAUAGAGAGCCCUGGUCCACAACAUCACUGAGAAGGUAGCUAACCCCAUAGACCGCUCUGUUUCCUGGUCCACAACAUCACUGAGAAGGUAGCUAACCCCAUAGACCGCUCUGUUUCCUGGUCCACAACAUCACUGAGAAGGUAGCUAACCCCAUAGACCGCUCUGUUUCCUGGUCCAUAACAUCACUGAGAAGGUAGCUAACCCCAUAGACCGCUCUGUUUCCUGGUCCACAACAUCACUGAGAAGGUAGCUAACCCCAUAGACCGCUCUGUUUCCUGGUCCAUAACAUCACUGAGAAGGUAGCUAACCCCAUAGACCGCUCUGUUUCCUGGUCUACAACAUCACUGAGAAGGUAGCUAACCCCAUAGACCGCUCUGUUUCCUGGUCCACAACAUCACUGAGAAGGUAGCUAACCCCAUAGACCGCUCUGUUUCCUGGUCCACAACAUCACUGAGAAGGUAGCUAACCCCAUAGACCGCUCUGUUUCCUGGUCCACAACAUCACUGAGAAGGUAGCUAACCCCAUAGACCGCUCUGUUUCCUGGUCCACAACAUCACUGAGAAGGUAGCUAACCCCAUAGACCGCUCUGUUUCCUGGUCCACAACAUCACUGAGAAGGUAGCUAACCCCAUAGACCGCUCUGUUUCCUGGUCCACAACAUCACUGAGAAGGUAGCUAACCCCAUAGACCGCUCUGUUUCCUGGUCCACAACAUCACUGAGAAGGUAGCUAACCCCAUAGACCGCUCUGUUUCCUGGUCCACAACAUCACUGAGAAGGUAGCUAACCCCAUAGACCGCUCUGUUUCCUGGUCCACAACAUCACUGAGAAGGGAGCUAACCCCAUAGACCGCUCUGUUUCCUGGUCCACAACAUCACUGAGAAGGGAGCUAACCCCAUAGACCGCUCUGUUUCCUGGUCCACAACAUCACUGAGAAGGGAGCUAACCCCAUAGACCGCUCUGUUUCCUGGUCCACAACAUCACUGAGAAGGUAGCUAACCCCAUAGACCGCUCUGUUUCCUGGUCCACAACAUCACUGAGAAGGUAGCUAACCCCAUAGACCGCUCUGUUUCCUGGUCCACAACAUCACUGAGAAGGUAGCUAACCCCAUAGACCGCUCUGUUUCCUGGUCCACAACAUCACUGAGAAGGGAGCUAACCCCAUAGACCGCUCUGUUUCCUGGU